GUCCACGCCGUAAACGAUGAGUGCUAGUCGUCGCGGGUAUUGACCCCUGCGGCAACGAAGUUAACGCAUUAAGCACUCCGCCUGGGGAGUACGGCCGCAAGGCUAAAACUCAAAGGAAUUGACGGGGGCCCCGCACAAGCGGUGGAGCAUGUGGUUCAAUUCGACGCAACGCGCAGAACCUUACCUGGGUUAAAUCCACCGGAACCCUUCAGAGAUGAGGGGGUGCCCGCAAGGGAGCCGGUGAGAAGGUGCUGCAUGGCUGUCGU
rnacentral:rRNA from 1 species